AUUGAACGCUGGCGGCAGGCUUAACACAUGCAAGUCGAGCGGGGGAAGGUAGCUUGCUACCGGACCUAGCGGCGGACGGGUGAGUAAUGCUUAGGAAUCUGCCUAUUAGUGGGGGACAACAUCUCGAAAGGGAUGCUAAUACCGCAUACGUCCUACGGGAGAAAGCAGGGGAUCUUCGGACCUUGCGCUAAUAGAUGAGCCUAAGUCGGAUUAGCUAGUUGGUGGGGUAAAGGCCUACCAAGGCGACGAUCUGUAGCGGGUCUGAGAGGAUGAUCCGCCACACUGGGACUGAGACACAGCCCAGACUCCUACGGGAGGCAGCAGUGGGGAAUAUUGGACAAUGGGGGGAACCCUGAUCCAGCCAUGCCGCGUGUGUGAAGAAGGCCUUAUGGUUGUAAAGCACUUUAAGCGAGGAGGAGGCUACUCUAGUUAAUACCUAGGGAUAGUGGACGUUACUCGCAGAAUAAGCACCGGCUAACUCUGUGCCAGCCGCCGCAGUAAGAC
rnacentral:rRNA from 1 species